GUGUGACUAUGUGUGGAUAGUGUUCAGCACCAAGGACAGGUAUGUGUGGCUAUGUGUGGAUAGUGCUUAGCACCAAGGACAGGUAUGUGUGACU
rnacentral:pre_miRNA from 1 species